rnacentral:rRNA from 1 species
CAAUAGCGUAUAUUUAAGUUGUUGCAGUUAAAAAGCUCGUAGUUGGAUUUCGGAUGGGACUUGACGGUCCGUCGUUUCGAUGUGCACUGGCCAGUCCUAUCUUGUUGUCGGGGACUAGCUCCUGGGCUUCACUGUCCGGGACUAGGAGCUGACGAGGUUACUUUGAGUAAAUUAGAGUGUUCAAAGCAAGCCUACGCUCUGAAUACAUUAGCAUGGAAUAACACGAUAGGACUCUGGCUUAUCUUGUUGGUCUGUGAGACCAGAGUAAUGAUUAAGAGGGACAGUCGGGGGCAUUCGUAUUUCAUUGUCAGAGGUGAAAUUCUUGGAUUUAUGAAAGACGAACUUCUGCGAAAGCAUUUGUCAAGGAUGUUUUCAUUAA